CACUUCAGGCGUUUUAAAGUCAACCUUCAUCCGCCUCAGUCGUGAAGGACAGAUAGGAGGCUUUGACUUCAGUGAAACAUGUUCUGCACCAUGGACUGAAAUGAUGCUCAGAGAGGAAGAAGACACGACUCUAAAACCAAAGGAAAUGAAGAAAAACUUCUGCCAACUUCGCACAAUUAUUACAUCUGUUGUCAACUAAACAGACAUAAAACAGCAGAACCUGCAAGAGUUUGAGCUCUUUCUUCCUGCGAAACUGAGCCCGGGUUCCCAUGGCAACAUUGAAACACUCAACCAGGAAGGGAAUUGCUGCUGCAAGCUAAAAGAUUGUAUGGACAAACAUCCAGAAAGCUGUUGCAACAUUCCCUUCAGAGGAAUGUUGCCUGUUUGCCUUUUGUUUCAGUUUCUGACGACACAGGAGUGUCAUUCAGGCAUAAAGCUGCCUAGCAACUGUUUCUGAGCCCAAAGCUAAAUGUAAACUCUUUUAAAAAGCUUGGAUUUAAAACUCACAUGGUAAGAAAAUGUAUUAAACUUUCUCCCUUUCUA